GCCUGCAAAACGACGCGGUACAUUCCGCGCCAUAAUUAUUAAUUAUUCCGUUCUGACAGUUUGCGCUUCACGUUAUUUGCUUCUUGUAUUUGCUUUAUUUUACGUUUUCCGUCUCCAGUUUAUACAAACUCGUCUUUUUCAAGACGCAUAUAGCUUGGAUCUACGAUCUUAUAAGAAGUCCUAACUCAUGAGUUUGGAGAGGAAACUUGUUCACUCUGAAGCUCGUAAUAUAAUCCGUAAAGUGGUCGAAUUCUUUGAUCGACAAAAAGAUGCAGGUCGUUGCCCGUUGGAGUUUCCCUUUAGAAAAGGCAACCGAGUUAGCUGCCGCUGCAGUUGGGAAGUCAGUUAGUUUUAUAAAACAAAUUCGCAAAGAAUCGGAUGAAGCUGGGCCCUCCAAGUUAAAAUCUCCUAAGAAAAAACGUCACGUGGAGCCAACAAACAAGAUCGAUUUUGAUGAAGCUGAUCAGUGUAUUUUACGAAGAACUGUCCAAGAAAUGUAUACAGUUGAACGUAAGGUACCAACUUUGAAUGUGCUCGUAG